GCACUCUUAUGUUCUAACGGUGUGUAUGUUUGUGUCAGUAUUCGUUAAGUGAAGUCCAGGGGCUUCAUCGCUCUGUCAUAUGUUUGGCCUUCAUCUUCAUCUCUGUGUUUGUGGUUCAGAUGCUGACCUCGCAAAAAAAUUUUGCGCUGGCGGUGUCGUACGGUGCCACUUUCCCUGUCCAAAUACUGAUUGUGCUUGUGGUCUUCACUAAGUUCCUGAAGCGCUGGCACUCUAAGUUUCCCCGCAGCAUCCGCUGGGUCUCGACGCUGUUUGAUGGUGUGGCCACCAGGGCGGCGCUGCGGCUGCUGCUGGUGUUUCUCUGUCUGCUCAUCACGCUGCUCAUGGCAGUGCUGAACAUAGUUUUUAUCCCAGGCGAUAACUGUUUAAAUGUUUCCCACAAUGUAACAGUACUGAACACUCUCAAUCUCUACACUGUCCCGUAUUAUCUGUACUGCUGUCUGCUGGCGAUGUUGGGCGUGAUUGUGUUCGUGCGUGUGAGCGUGUCUGUUAAAGUCUUCCUCCUGACUCUCGCUGUGGUGGUUUAUCUUGCACUCUUCCUGCACGUUUAUGCGCCGCGCUCCGACUGCUACAUGAAACAGCUCUACAGUGGCAACAGCACGUAAGAGCCAAACACACACACACACAUACACACCUGAUUCAGCAGGACUACUGUGAUUAUUUU
rnacentral:lncRNA from 1 species